rnacentral:rRNA from 1 species
AGUAGUGCAUCACACAAGGUUUUCAACUCAGGGCUAAUAAGAACUCUGCAAAACCUAGAGGCCGGUGUUGCUAACAUGGCGGAGUUUGUCAUCCUUUUGGGCGGAUGCGAGCGCAUCUCCCGUAGACCCUAUGAUGCAUAUCUUUACAUCGACAACUUCAUAUUUGGCCGCCAUGUCGAGAAGCAGCAGAUCAUCAGGUUCUUGCUGCACCACAACACCCCAGGUUCUCUGGCCGUGCUUCCAAUCAUUGGUGAUGCUGGAGUUGGGAACAAAACUCUUGUCACCCAUGUAUGCGAUGUUGAGAGAGUGCGUUCUCACUUUUCUAUGAUUUUGCACCUGAAUGGAGAUGAUCUUUUCAGAAUUACAGACCAUGAAAGACUAUCAGGGAGGAUAUUAGUAGUUGUUGAGUUUGCUUCAGAUGUAGAUGAAGAUGACUGGACAACGUUCUAUCAUUUUGUUACGAAUAUGGAGGGAAGUAAAGUGAUAAUCUUGGGUCAAAGCGCAGGCUUGGAGAAGUUUGGAACCAUCAAGCCUGUUUCUCUGAACUCCCUGGCAUUCGAUGAGUACAUGUACCUAUUCAAGACACUCGCAUUCGGAAGUACAAACCCGGCAGACUACCCGCGGCUAGCAGCGAUGGUGGAAGAGUUCGCCACGGUGUUGGGAGGGUCAUUUAUCGCAGCGAAUCUUGCAGAUGCACUGCGGAAAAACUCGAGUGCUCAUUUCUGGCUGUACAGGUUGAAGGGUGCCAGAGACUCUGUCAAUAAGGACAUCUCUUGUUUUGGUACCCACCCGCAGGUGCUUCUUAGUCGAGGCCAACUGGUACACCUAAUCGGCCGCUACAUUUUAACUCCUGCUGCUCCAUCAGGCAUUGUAAACUCUGCUAUUGGUAUGGCUAAUGUUCCAGAGGAGCAGGGUCUACCUAGGAUUAUGUUUGGGGACCUAAUAGCAGCAGCAGGUCACGCUGUCUUACCCAAAGGAGAUUUUAGGCUAAUUUCAUGGGAAUCAAGGCUGCCGCCUUACACUUCAUUUUCUCACUUGGUGCACGCUGUGCCGAGUUGCGUCCAUGACAAGCCUGAAACAUCCUUGUCAGGGAAGAAGCGUCCAGGUCUAUUUACCUAA